rnacentral:rRNA from 1 species
AUGCUGGUCUUGUCAAUGGACAGGGAGUUAGAUGAGGAGAUGCAAAGUGCAGUGCGUGAUUACCUGGAGCAGAGAGGGGUGAAUGACGAGCUAGCAGCAUUCCUGCACACGUACAUGGAAAACAAGGAGCAGACCGAGCUUGUAGGGUGGCUUAAAAAUAUCGAGUGCUAUCUGAAGAACAUCAAAAAGUCCUUGCUCUUUCAGAAGACGUGA